rnacentral:miRNA from 1 species
UUCCUUCCAGUUGAUGAGGUAUAACAACCUCAUCAACUGGACAGAAUCCCUUCCGGCCGAUGAGGUAUAAACAUCUCAUUGACUGGAAGGAAUCCCUUCCGGUCAAUGGGGUAUAAUGACCUCAUUGACAGGAAGGGAUUCCUUCCGAUUGAUCGGGUUGUUAUCCCCUGUCAACAAGAAGGAU